GGGCUCCGCGGGGCUCCGCGGGGACAGGCGGCCAGCUCGGGAUCGGAAGCGAGCAACAGCUUGAAACCGGGGAUACCUAUACACAAGAAACACAUGGCAGUGGAGUUCUCGGAAUUGCCCUAUGUGCUCUGUCUCCUGCAUACUACUCAUAAGUUUCACGUGGAUCAGGAGCAUGGAGCUUCUCCUCUGUCUUGUGCAGCCCUGAACAGGCUAGUUCUGCAAAGAACCUUAUCUGUAAUAAUAGGACCCACUUCUACACUGAGGUUGCAAAAUAGAAGAUGUUAUCAGGACUGAUGUGGCUGCUCCCAUCUGCUACCCCAAAAGACAAGGCUUGCAAUACCAUUGGAAUAAAGUCUACUCCUACAGAACCCUACAGAAACAAUCCAGGAUUCUUUUAUGUUUUUCCAGUCCUCUCUUGCUUUCUUUCCCCUUCACCCAUACCCACCUCUCAGGGACUCGUCUUAUAAAGCACUUCGGAUGCAAAUCAGCUUCCUCCAAUAUUAUUUCGGUGUUUCACCUACUAUCCUAAAGAACAUUAUGCUUCAAAAACCUGACAUCUUAUCUUACCAUUCCUUUUGGCUUCCAGGCUACCAUCUGUGUACCCUCAGGGAGUCAACAAGAGAAGAACAAGGGCCAGAAACCAGAACACAGGUGAAAAGAGGUAAACAGAAGCUUCUUGUUUCUGUAAAGGAAUGUUCAAGCCUCAAAAGCACAAGAGCAAAUGGAGCAAGAGGAAUCCCUUGCCCAAACUAAAAACUGAUAAACCUACAAUUGAAAUGGAUGGAAAAAAAGAGGACACUGACUUUCGAUUCAGGUUCUAAUUCUUGCAGGAUGCAUGUAUUUACUUGAAUUGCCUAGUGAAGGACACUCGCCACAGAUUUGGGAUAAAUCACAGCAGGACAGUUCAGCCUUUGACAAUAUAGAUCCAGAAGGUAUUAUAAUAGCUCAGCUACACAAGUAGCAUGCAAGCAGAAAUCAAACAGAAGACACCCCACAGACUACAUGUUGGGCAGCUCUGAUUAAGAUGGGUGCCACCUUUUUCCUGCAGUUCUCUUCUCCUGUUCAUAUUUAACUUCACUUCUCCUGUUGAUAUUUAACUUCAGAGUACCCAGCUCAGCCACAUGUGAAACUAGUC